AUCGAACGCUGGCGGCAGGCCUAACACAUGCAAGUCGAACGGGUGGCGGACGGGUGAGUAAUUUCUGGGAAACUGCCUGAUGGAGCGGGAUAAUUACUGGAAACGGUAGAUAAUCCCGCAUACCAUCAGAUGUGCCCAGGUGGGAUUAGCUGGUUGGUGGGGUAACGGCUUACAAAGGCGACGAUCCCUAGCUGGUCUGAGAGGAUGACCGGCCACACUGGGACUGAGACACGGUCCAGACUCCUACGGGAGGCAGCAGUGGGGAAUAUUGCACAAUGGGCGCAAGCCUGAUGGAGCCAUGCCGCGUGUAUGAAGAAGGCCUUCGGGUUGUAAAGUACUUUCGGCGGGGAGGCGUUACCCGAAGAAGAAGCACCGGCUAACUCCGUGCCAGCAGCCGCGGUAAUUC
rnacentral:rRNA from 1 species